rnacentral:rRNA from 1 species
GAUCAACGCUGGCGGCGUGCAUAACACAUGCAAGUCGAACGAUGAAGACUAAAUGCUUUCUUCGGAAUCAGCUUCAUUGGUUUAGUAGCGGUCGGGUGAGUGACACUUGACUAACCCCCCUUUUACAAGAAGACUGCCGUUCUGAACCUCGAAUAAUACCCUAUGACAUCAUGUAACCUCUUGUUGAUUUCAUAAAAGAUUUAUCGGUAUAAGAUUGACCCGCGUCUGAUUAGCUAGGUGGUAGAGUAACAGACGACCAAGGCAACGAUCAGUCGGCGGCAUUAGAGAGUGUACGGGGACCAUGGGACUGAGGCACGGACCAGACUCGAACGGGGGGCAGCAGUGGGGAAUUUUGCGCAAUGAGGGAAACUCGGAUGCAGCGACGCUGCGUGAGUUAGAAGGUCUUCAGGUUGUAAAAAUCUUUUGGAUGGAAGGAAAGUGACAGUACUAGACGAAGAAGGACCGGCUAAUUACGUG